rnacentral:rRNA from 1 species
GACGUAGGGUCCAAGCGUUGUCCGGAUUUACUGGGCGUAAAGAGCGCGUAGGCGGUCCGUUAAGUGUAGAGUGAAAGCUCCGGGCUCAACUCGGAAAUUGCUCUGCAUACUGGCGGACUCGAGGAUGGAAGAGGUUUGUGGAAUUCCUGGUGUAGCGGUGAAAUGCGCAGAUAUCAGGAGGAACACCGGUGGCGAAGGCGGGUCUCUGGGCCGAUACUGACGCUGAGGAGCGAAAGCGUGGGGAGCGAACAGG